rnacentral:rRNA from 1 species
GACGAACGCUGGCGGCGUGCUUAACACAUGCAAGUCGAACGGUAAGGCCCUUCGGGGUACACGAGUGGCGAACGGGUGAGUAACACGUGGGUGAUCUGCCCUGCACUUCGGGAUAAGCCUGGGAAACUGGGUCUAAUACCGGAUAGGACCACUGCCUGCAUGGGUGGUGGUGGAAAGCUUUUGCGGUGUGGGAUGGGCCCGCGGCCUAUCAGCUUGUUGGUGGGGUGAUGGCCUACCAAGGCGACGACGGGUAGCCGGCCUGAGAGGGUGACCAGCCACACUGGGACUGAGAUACGGCCCAGACUCCUACGGGAGGCAGCAGUGGGGAAUAUUGCACAAUGGGCGCAAGCCUGAUGCAGCGACGCCGCGUGAGGGAUGACGGCCUUCGGGUUGUAAACCUCUUUCAGUAGGGAAGAAGCGAAAGUGACGGUACCUACAGAAGAAGCACCGGCUAACUAUGUGCCAGCCGCCGCGGUAA